rnacentral:rRNA from 1 species
GGAGGAAAAGAAACUAACAAGGAUUCCCCUAGUAACUGCGAGUGAAGCGGGAAAAGCUCAAAUUUAAAAUCUGGUAGUCUUUGGCUGCCCGAGUUGUAAUCUAGAGAAGCAUUAUCCGCGCUGGACCGUGUACAAGUGUCCUGGAAUGGACUAUCAUAGAGGGUGAGAAUCCCGUCUUUGACACGGACUCCCAGGGCUUUGUGAUGUGCUCUCAAAGAGUCGAGUUGUUUGGGAAUGCAGCUCUAAAUGGGUGGUAAAUUCCAUCUAAAGCUAAAUAUUGGCGAGAGACCGAUAGCGAACAAGUACCGUGAGGGAAAGAUGAAAAGAACUUUGGAAAGAGAGUUAAACAGUACGUGAAAUUGCUGAAAGGGAAACGCUUGAAGUCAGUCGCGUCGGCUGGGGAUCAACCUUGCUUCUUGCUUGGCUUACUUCCCAGUUGACGGGUCAGCAUCAGUUUUGACCAGUGGAUAAAGGUNAAGGGAAUGUGGCACCUCCGGGUGUGUUAUAGCCCUUGGUCAUAUACAUUGGUUGGGACUGA